AUAUCAAUAAGCGGAGGAAAAGAAACCAACAGGGGAUUGCCCCAGUAACGGCGAGUGAAGCGGCAACAGCUCAAAUUUGAAAUCUGGUCCCUAGGGCCCGAGUUGUAAUUUGCAGAGGAUGCUUUUGGCGCGGUGCCUUCCGAGUUCCCUGGAACGGGACGCCAUAGAGGGUGAGAGCCCCGUCUGGUCGGACACCAAGCCAGUGUAAAGCUCCUUCGACGAGUCGAGUAGUUUGGGAAUGCUGCUCUAAAUGGGAGGUAUAUGUCUUCUAAAGCUAAAUAUUGGCCAGAGACCGAUAGCGCACAAGUAGAGUGAUCGAAAGAUGAAAAGCACUUUGAAAAGAGGGUUAAAAAGUACGUGAAAUUGUUGAAAGGGAAGCGCUUAUGACCAGACUUGGGCCCGGUGAAUCAUCCAGCGUUCUCGCUGGUGCACUUUGCCGGGCUCAGGCCAGCAUCAGUUCGCCGUGGGGGAUAAAAGCUUCGGGAACGUGGCUCCCUCGGGAGUGUUAUAGCCCGUUGCAUAAUACCCUGUGGCGGACUGAGGUUCGCGCUCCGCAAGGAUGCUGGCGUAAUGGUCAUCAGCGACCCGUCUUGAAACACGGACCAAGGAGUCGUCUUCGUAUGCGAGUGUUCGGGUGUUAAACCCCUACGCGUAAUGAAAGUGAACGCAGGUGAGAGCUUCGGCGCAUCAUCGACCGAUCCUGAUGUUCUCGGAUGGAUUUGAGUAAGAGCAUACGGGGCCGGACCCGAAAGAAGGUGAACUAUGCCUGUAUAGGGUGAAGCCAGAGGAAACUCUGGUGGAGGCUCGCAGCGGUUCUGACGUGCAAAUCGAUCGUCAAAUAUGGGCAUGGGGGGCGAAAGACUAAUCGAACCUUCUAGUAGCUGGUUUCCGC
rnacentral:rRNA from 1 species